rnacentral:tRNA from 1 species
GUCCCUAUAGUUUAACCGGAUAAAACCGUGGCCUCCUAAGCCGCUAAUCGAGGUUCGAGUCCUCGUGGGGACGCCA